UGACCAUGCAGGAAAUAAAAAGGGAUUUGUAUUAUGAAAAACAAAUAAAAAAGCCAUCUCUUGCCCUCGAAUUAGGGAUUUGAAGUAAAAAGCACUCUCAAAACCUAAAUUUUCUUCGUUCUUCUGAUCUUCUUGAAGAAGCUUCCUUUGUGGCCACCAUCUUUCAUCUUGUGAUCUCGAACUAGGGUUUCGAACAGGGGUGGAACUAGGACUUUUCUCAAGCUUAUGAGCACAGGAUGGACACUAUCUCUGGUGCUCUUGGAACUAUUCUUCAAGGCUGCAACAUGCAUCUUGUGACCGUGAAUCACUGCUUUGUUCGAGGAUCAAGAGGAAGAUAACAUGACAACUUUGAAGACUACCUCAAGACUGACAUCAAGCAAAUAUGGCUAUUUUUCCUUACCUGUUCUCUUCCUCUUUUAUUCAAUUAUAUAGUUCAUUUCAUAUGUCAUAUGAUGGUUCAACUACUCCCACAACUUAUGUGGGACUUCUAAACACUUUUUCUUCUUCAAUGA